AUUCACUCAGUGAAUGUACAUAAUCACUCGCUUGCGCGUUGUUGCAAAGAUUUAUCUGAUCUCGCCAGAAUAAUGUGAAACUGCUACGUUUUGUUUGCUAUGAACAAUAUUUUGAGUUAGUUUCUUCAUAAAAAUAAGGUUUGAUUACAUUUUUAGCGAGAAAUAUAUAUUCUAUUUUCAUAAUAUUAGCGUCAAAAACUGACGCGAAUUUUAUUGGUAUGAAAUCACGCUGAAGAAGUCUCCUUCAGAACACAUCGCGAUAUUUGGCAUCAGUUCGCGUGUGCUGGAUGUUGGUAAGUAGUCGUAAAUACGCUGUUCUAAUGUUUGAUAUAAUGUCUUUUCUGUUUGCAGAUAUUAAUCAGAUUAACGUUAGCUCCCUCAUGUUCAGUCACUGCAUUAUAUCUGUCACCUCCGCUGAGGUUUUGCUUUUCAUUGUUUUCUAUAUUAAAUACUAAACUAGGGUGAUUAAACACUGUCACGUGACGUGCAAUAUAUUGCACAAUAUAAUAUAACAUAUUCAUAUCAGGUUCAAAGUAGUACAAGUGUAGUUUCAAAAUGGUAUUUGUUGUAGAAGCACGGUAAAAAAAACAACACUUACCAUGCUUUUUACCACAGUAUUGGUAGUUUUAAUGUGAUUUUUGUUGUAAAUACAGAGUAACCACAACACUUAUCAUGCUUUUAAUGCCUAAUAAUGUUAAAUCCAAAAACUGUAAGGUCAAUAAGAACUUCUUUCCUAUAUAUAUUUAGGCUAUAUAUAAACCUAUAUAUUAUAAAUAAUGAUAUUUUCUUUUCUCUUGUUUUAGCUGAAAAGACAAAAAGGGCCUUUCGGAAAUGGAUGAAGGAGACAGAAAGCUGCAAAGGCAAAUAAUUGCAAUGAAGGAAAUCCUACGGUUAUGUAUGAACUCACAACAUCAUCAUCAAGUGCUGUGCUGGGCACAUUGGGUAACAAGUGUCCUCCAACGUAUCCAAUCUGUGGCCACGUUCUCCACAUCUUCCCAUGGGACACCGACAUUCUUCAGGCCUUCGUUUCCAUGUCUUCCCCUGCAUUCUCCUGGUGGUGUCCACUUCAUAUCUGUCUUUGGGUGUUGUUGUUUGGUCAUGCUUAGGAUGUGUCCAGGGAGGUGCACCCUUCACUCUGUCACAGUUUUUAAAAGUCUUCACGUGGACUCCUCCUUAUGAUCUCCUUGAAACGUGCAGAACCAAUAUUGAAAAUAGUAAUUUAUCUUUUUCCAUAUUCUUGCCUUUAUCAAAGAAGCACCAGUGCUCAUCCGGAGUUUUGGUAAAAGACAUAUUCAUUGCCAUCCACUAGUUCUAGUAAUGCUGCGACUAUAGUCAAAUAUGUAUUUCUGCAUGUGUGUAUAGCAGGUGUUUGUCCGAACAAUUGAAGUUAGUGAGAGUGUUCAGGAAAACCCUCUGAGAACAAUCAAUAUUUAUUUAAUUCUGUUUGGUGCUGAUAUAGAGUAUUACAGAAAUGACACAUUGACAUUCUGGACAUUAUUCUGUGAGUUUGUUACCUCUACAUUUAGAUGGACUUGAAAAUGUCUUGCAUUUUGUUUCAUUAAACCUUUUAUUACAGUGUCACUAUAGUAAAUGUCCACCUUAACUACAUCUAUGGUAUCAUUAUAUCAGUACCUGGAUAAUGUAAAUGUAACAUACCCAUGAAUGUAUUUUAUAGAAGCAUUUUAUUGCUGAAAAUAUUUAACAUUUAUAAAAUGCAUUAACUAUU